UGGACUCUGAAUAGCCCCCUGCUGGGGCCCCAGUGGAUGAAAUCGAAUUGCCAGUUUUGACUUAGAGGCUUCCGUUCUGCCCCGGGGACGAGAUGGAACAACAGAAGCCCCCCAAGAGCCAGGGAGAGCAGUGGACAGGUGGGGGCACAGCCUGCUCCUGUUCCCCUUUGGGGAGCUGUACACCCACAUAAACACACACACUUAUUCCAGGCAUCACGGGCGCAGCUGCCACUCACAAUAGGGGCGGGGCUUGUUUGUCACUGGGCCCUACAAGUCACUGGGCGCCCGUGACUGUGCCUUCUGUAAAUCAGACACCUGAAGCCUGAAGCCACUCAAUAAAUGAAUAGCCCCUGCUGCUUCUGGGCACAGGAAACCCUCUCCUCCUGCCCUAGAGGGAGAGGGGACCUUGUUCACCCUUUUCUUCUGGCUGUGGGGUCUGUGCGUCAGCGCACUCCGGCCUUCCUGGGAACUCACCAGAUGCCUCUUCCAGAGUGUGGAUUUGGGGAGAAGUCCCUUGGAUGCUGAGCGCCGGACUUGCCUUCCUGGCCCCAGUUCUGCACACACUGAGAAGAACCCAACCCUCUUCCCUACCCCCUCAGGUCUCCUUGCAAGGCACAGACUUAGGUCUACCUACCCUUCAGUCCCGCCUCCUCCUCAGCCACUGGCCCUGCGCCCUCACCUGCCAG
rnacentral:lncRNA from 1 species